GAUGAACGCUAGCGGCAGGCCUAAUACAUGCAAGCCGAACGGCAAGUUUGAUAGCAAUAUUGGACCUAGAGUGGCGCAAGGGUGCGUAACACGUAUGCAACCUGCCCGCGACAGGAGGAUAGCUCCCCGAAAGGGGAAUUAACCCUCCAUAACACCAUGAGAAGGCAUCUGAUUAUGGUUAAACCGCAAGGGGUCGCGGGUGGGCAUGCGGUUGAUUAGCUAGUUGGCGGGGUAAAGGCCCACCAAGGCGGUGAUCAAUAGGGGUUCUGAGAGGAAGGUCCCCCACACUGGCACUGAGAUACGGGCCAGACUCCUACGGGAGGCAGCAGUAGGGAAUAUUGGACAAUGGUUGCAAGACUGAUCCAGCCAUGCCGCGUGCAGGAAGAAGGCCUUCUGGGUCGUAAACUGCUUUUUCCUGUGGAUAAAAUACCCGUGCGCGGGGAAUUGAAGGUAACAGGGGAAUAAGCCACGGCUAACUACGUG
rnacentral:rRNA from 1 species